rnacentral:rRNA from 1 species
UACGUAGGGGGCAAGCGUUGUCCGGAAUUAUUGGGCGUAAAGCGCGUGUAGGCGGCUCGGUAAGUCUGCUGUGAAAGUCCAGGGCUCAACCCUGGAAUGCCGGUGGAUACUGUCGAGCUAGAGUCCGGAAGAGGCGAGUGGAAUUCCUGGUGUAGCGGUGAAAUGCGCAGAUAUCAGGAGGAACACCGAUGGCGAAGGCAGCUCGCUGGGACGGUACUGACGCUGAGACGCGAAAGCGUGGGGAGCAAACAGG